rnacentral:lncRNA from 1 species
UGAAAUAAACAAAAAAAAACCCACCACUCACUGACUCACCUCACCGUCACCUCUCCCUCACCUCACACACAUCAAACGCCUCACCACUCCUCACCUCACACACGCCUCACCACGGCCAUCAACGGCGGCGGCUGAAGGAGUUCCUAGGCAACGAUCAACGGCGGCACAAGGACGGGCUGAUCUCCGCCGUCGGCAACGAUCAACGAAGGCAAAAGGAUGGGCUGAUGUUCUUCGUUGACAAUGAUCAACGGCGGCACAAGCACAGCCCCGUUCCUCGCGCAAUCCAUCUCCAACACUAGAAUAGCUGUCGUCAAGGGCUUCGGUGGGACGCCACAGCUAUUGCUCAACCACCUCUGCCCUGCUACUGUACCAUCAUCUCCUCACCACACGACAUCAGAACUAUUGUUCUAGUUUCGCCUCACAUUCUCUUUACAACC